rnacentral:rRNA from 1 species
AUUGAACGCUGGCGGCAUGCCUUACACAUGCAAGUCGAACGAGUGGCGGACGGGUGAGUAAUAUCUGGGAAACUGCCUAGUAGCGGGGGAUAACUACUCGAAACGGUAGCUAAUACCGCAUACCCUUGGCGCUGCCGAUAUGGGAUUAGCUAGUUGGUGGGGUAACGGCUCACCUAGGCGACGCUCCCUAGCUGGUCUGAGAGGAUGACCAGCCACACUGGGACUGAGACACGGUCCAGACUCCUACGGGAGGCAGCAGUGGGGAAUAUUGGACAAUGGGAGAAAGCCUGAUGCAGCCAUGCCGCGUGUAUGAAGAAGGCCUUCGGGUUGUAAAGUACUUUCAGCGGGGAGGCGGUAACUGCAGAAGAAGCACCGGCUAACUCCGUGCCAGCAGCCGCGGUAAUUA